UUCAGGUGCUCGCGAUCCGGUCCCCAUCGGAUUGCAGUUAAACGGGAAACAGGGAGUCCGCCACGCCGCCGCGCGAUGCCGGUCCAACCUGUGCUGCCCCCGCAACGGUAAGCGAUUGCGAUCGCCGCCGCGCCCGAGCCGAUCGGCACGAUCGUCUCCACGCCCCCGGCCUCGCCUCACCGUCCCACAUGCCACUGGACCGAUGGUUCCGGGAAGGCGGACGGUGCCGAUCGCCAGCCCGGAUACCGGCCUGGAUGCGGGCAUGCCG
rnacentral:ncRNA from 2 species